CUUCGUUCUCCUUCAAUCCUCCACCGAUUCCGACGAGUGAGGUAUUCCGACUACACCUACACAGCAGGCAGGAACCUCUCAGGGUUACGCAGCGUGGGACUACUUCCAGUAGUUGACUGGAACGAGCUGCAGUGCCGUGUUUUGUGCUCCUGCUAUCACGAGCCGCAGUACUUGAGCUUUCUUAGAGCCUCAGUGCUAUGUAAAUACGUAAAACUUCAUUUUUGCUAGUUUGUUGUACUCUGUAGACUUGCUCUGUUAUCGCCUGUUAGGAUUUGGUA